UCCUGGCUCAGGAUGAACGCUGGCGGCGUGCCUAAUACAUGCAAGUCGAACGAGGUUUUGUUGAAUGAUUUCUUCGGAAUGAAUUCUUUAAAACCGAGUGGCGGACGGGUGAGUAACACGUGGGUAACCUGCCCUUAAGUAGGGGAUAACAUUUGGAAACAGAUGCUAAUACCGUAUAAACCUCAGAAACACAUGUUUCUGAGUUGAAAGGCGGCUUUCGAGCUGUCGCUUUUGGAUGGACCCGCGGCGUAUUAGCUAGUUGGUGAGGUAAAGGCUCACCAAGGCAGUGAUACGUAGCCGACCUGAGAGGGUGAUCGGCCACAUUGGGACUGAGACACGGCCCAAACUCCUACGGGAGGCAGCAGUAGGGAAUCUUCCACAAUGGACGAAAGUCUGAUGGAGCAACGCCGCGUGAGUGAAGAAGGUUUUCGGAUCGUAAAACUCUGUUGUUGGAGAAGAACACGUUUGAGAGUAACUGUUCAGACGUUGACGGUAUCCAACCAGAAAGCCACGGCUAACUACGUGCCAGCAGCCGCGGUAAUACGUAGGUGGCAAGCGUUAUCCGGAUUUAUUGGGCGUAAAGCGAGCGCAG
rnacentral:rRNA from 2 species